CAGUGGGUUCCCCAUCGCCCUCUUGGCCACCAGCCCUUCCCUUUUCCCCAGGGCUGGGGCUCUUGGUAUCAGCAGCCCUGGGUACACUCUGUGUCCCCAGCACCGCAGGGCUGCCAGCCCAGAGCACAGGGAAGGAGGUUUUUGCCUGGGGGGAAGGGGGUGUUUACAUGGACUAAAGCCCUCCAGUGAAUCCAGCCUGAUGCAGAGCAGUUCCUGGGUGAAAGGGUUCAUUUUGCAGGUGCUUUUCUUGAAGCAAGGGGGUUGUUUUCCCUAAGGAACAGGGGGCUGCGGAGGAGGAGGAGGGAGGGAGCCUUUCACCUGCCAGGGUCCCAGCUACCUCUAGUGGCUGCUUUUGCAAUCACAGCCCCAGCACCCAGCCCAAGGUGCCCCUGCCCGGCGUCCCCCCUGCCUGCACCCAAGGGCCGGGGACCAGAGCAUCCUACGCCGGGGCAGCGAGGGGAUGGAUGACCGGGGGCUGCAUCGCCUGCUGCCUUGCUGGACUGGCUUUAAGCCAACUGGACCACAGGGGGAAAGCGCCCAGCAGGACUAAUGGCCAAGGCCCUUGCACCAAAGAGGGAUCUGAAUUCAAGCACACCUGAGAUUCCACCACUGCUGGUUGUACUCAUCUUCCUUGAUCCGCCCAUCAAACACCUUCCAGCGCCACUGGUCCAUGAGCACCACAUCAGCUGAGACCACCACCUGCUCCCCAUGGCCACCUGAAGUCCUUGCGGUUGUAGAAGUCCCAGGCUGAGGCGUGACACACCACUUCCCGCCCGUCUGC